UAAUGGCAGGUCAGCAUACUGCCGUGAAUACGUUCCCGGGCCUUGUACACACCGCCCGUCACACCAUGAGAGUUGGGAAUACCCGAAGCCUGUGAGCCAACUUUUAAAGAGGCAGCAGUCGAAGGUAGAAUCAAUGAUUGGGUGAAGUCGUAACAAGGUAUC
rnacentral:rRNA from 1 species